rnacentral:lncRNA from 1 species
UUAAUAAAUGCAGUCUUAGAGUUUGAUUAACUUCUCUUCCAGUAGGUGGAGAUGUGCCCACCGGGCCAGGAUUCUCCUCUCAAUACGCGGGAACCAAUCACUGUGCAGCAGCUCCUCCUCCCAGACUGGGCGGGUCUCCAGUCCUCAGUGCCUAGGACCUUCUCUUGUGUCUAGUCACUUCUCUACUUUUCCUUAAGCCAGGCCCUGCUCACCGGUGACGCUCACCACAAUACUGGCUACACACUAGUUCUGCUGCUCCCAGGAGCCCUAUUUUCUUGAACGACUGGGCACACUCUCCCCAUUUGCCAUUCCCUCAGACCCGACGUUUGUGGAGCUUGGGGCUGAGAACCCUCAGCGAAAUUUUGCUUGUCCUCCGGUAGCCACGCCCCUGGUAGCUGGUGCAAGAGACCUCAGUUGUCAGCACUGGUGGGAGUGGUAGCCGCGGGUCCCGCGCCACUCCUGAUUCCCUUGGUCUGACUAUCGCGCUCACAGGAGAGCUGGGAGGAGCCCUUA